GUGCCAGCAGCCGCGGUAAUACGGAGGUGCAAGCGUUAUCCGGAUUCAUUGGGUUUAAAGGGUGCGCAGGCGGAUAAUUAAGUCAGUGGUGAAAUCCCGGGGCUCAACCUCGGAACUGCCAUUGAUACUGAUAAUCUGGAAUACGGUUGAAGUGGGCGGAAUGUAGCAUGUAGCGGUGAAAUGCAUAGAGAUGCUACAGAACACCGAUCGCGAAGGCAGCUCACUAAGCCGAUAUUGACGCUCAGGCACGAAAGCGUGGGGAGCGAACAGGAUUGGAUACCCUGGUAGUCCACGCCGUAAACGAUGAUAACUCGUUGUUGGCGAUAUACAGUCAGCGACUAAGCGAAAGCGAUAAGUUAUCCACCUGGGGAGUACGAUCGCAAGGUUGAAACUUAAAUGAAAUUGGCGG
rnacentral:rRNA from 1 species